ACGGGAGGCAGCAGUGGGGAAUAUUGCACAAUGGGGGAAACCCUGAUGCAGCGACGCCGCGUGAAGGAAGAAGUAUCUCGGUAUGUAAACUUCUAUCAGCAGGGAAGAUAAUGACGGUACCUGACUAAGAAGCCCCGGCUAACUACGUGCCAGCAGCCGCGGUAAUACGUAGGGGGCAAGCGUUAUCCGGAUUUACUGGGUGUAAAGGGAGUGUAGGUGGCCUGGCAAGCCAGAUGUGAAAGCCCGCGGCUCAACCGCGGGACUGCAUUUGGAACUGUUAGGCUUGAGUGCAGGAGAGGAAAGUGGAAUUCCUAGUGUAGCGGUGAAAUGCGUAGAUAUUAGGAGGAACACCAGUGGCGAAGGCGGCUUUCUGGACUGUAACUGACGUUGAGGCUCGAAAGCGUGGGGAGCAAACAGGAUUAGAUACCCUGGUA
rnacentral:rRNA from 1 species